GGAAACGGUAGCUAAUACCGCCAUAACGUCGCCAAGACCAAAGAGGGGGGACCUUCGGGGCCUCUUGCCAUCAGAUGUGCCCAGAAUGGGAUUAGCUAGUAGGUGGGGUAACGGCUCCACCCUAGGCGACGCAUCCCUAGCUGGUUCUGAGAGGAUGACCCAGCCCACACUGGAACUGAGACACGGUCCAGACUCCUACGGGAGGCAGCCAGUGGGGAAUAUUGCACAAUGGGCGCAAGCCUGAUGCAGCCAUGCCGCGUGUAUGAAGAAGGCCUUCGGGUUGUAAAGUACUUUCAGCGGGGAGGAAGGUGUUGAGGUUAAUAACCUCAGCAAUUGACGUUACCCGCAGAAGAAGCACCGGCUAACUCCGUGCCAGCAGCCGCGGUAAUACGGAGGGUGCAAGCGUUAAUCGGAAUUACUGGGCGUAAAGCGCACGCAGGCGGUCUGUCAAGUCGGAAUGUGAAAUCCCCGGGCUCAACCUGGGAACUGCAUUCGAAACUGGCAGGCUAGAGUCUUGUAGAGGGGGGUAGAAUUCCAGGUGUAGCGGUGAAAUGCGUAGAGAUCUGGAGGAAURCCGGUGGCGAAGGCGGCCCCCUGGACAAAGACUGACG
rnacentral:rRNA from 1 species